GGCGGCAGCGGGGCCGUGCCCGUUGCAGGGGUAUGCCGGUGUGCCCGCAGGGACGGCCGCCGCUGCCCGCGCUUCGACCGCCCGCCGUGCUGAGGGGGGCGCGGAGGGGCCGGGUCCGCUGCUCUCAGGUGCCCCCGAAUCGCACUGCGGGCUUGCGCGGCUGUACGUAACGUGGAAGCGUGGCUGUGUACUGCGGGACAUCGUGUGGUGCAGCCUGGUCCCGGGCGCAGCGUGCUCGGUGUCACCUCAGGGCUGGGCCCAAACGCGGCUGGAGCGCUGUCCCCACGGCCUGUGUGCAGCUGCCGGGCGGCUCUCACUGCUGGUCCCCGGGUCCUUAGGAAUUCUCUGAGGAUGCCCUUACAUACCCCCUACAUUUUGGUUUUCCCAGCCAAAUUCCAUUUUGGGUAUGAGUGUCAUACUGAAGAUGGAGACCGUGGAUGAUUCUCCAUAAUUUUUUUUUCCUAUUUUUUCUUCUUUUUCCUUUUAUCUCCGCAAUCUAAGCAAAUCUUGUGACUACUGGAGGUCUGACUCAUGGCAGCCUAAUGGUUACGCUGAUAACUUCUUAACAGAAAAGCUUCUGUGUAUUUAUAAAAAAUGCUUCAGCUUAUCUCGUGAUAUCUGAUGUUCUUGUAAGAUCUGCUCAAGGCACAUAAUUACACACGAGGCAUUAGAGUUUUUAUCUUUUUUUCAGAUCACACAUUGCAAAGAAAAAAAAAAAUUGUUAGUUUUUAACUAGCUUCAGUGUCUCCUUGAUGUGAAUGUAUUCUAGUGGGGUGCAAACCAAAGCAUUAAAGAAAUAUUAUUUCUUAGAACUCUGUUGAGCGUGGGCUCCUGUCACUAAUUUUGCAAUAACUUAAACAGGAACAUGGUGAGGCCCUCUGCGUCUGAGUAACACAAGUACGUGCAGUGCCUUCUGUGUUAGUGUCUUCUGUGGUUUGCAUCAAAACAAAAGGACAUUCAGGAUUUGCUGGUGCUCUGCUUCAGAAGGACCAUGGUGUACAAGAUGUAGCAUUAACUGUCCCACCCCACUACCAAGUACUUCACUGCUGCUGGGCAUGCCUUGUCCUCAGACCAGGCCUUGGCGUAAGCUCUGCUCACCUUGUCAGAGCUGCUUAAAUAAAUCUCUGGUAGGCAUCAGGAGCAACCAGGAAAUUUCAAACACAAUUUUGUCAGAAUCAAAUCUUUCUUAGAAUAUAAAAUGGAAUAAUGUUUCUGAGAUGUCCAAUCUGCCACAUCUCCCAAGAGGACCUCACUAGGGCUGGAGAGACUUCUGUGGAAGAAUUCCUCACUUGCCUGCCUCGUAUCAAACUAGAUAAGCUAGACAAGACAUUUCCUUCAUUACAAAGGAACUGUUUAAACCAAGAAUUCUAAAGAGACCAUUCUGAAGUUAAAGAUUGUGUAUUUGCCUGAAUUUUUCCUCUUGAGGAACUUUAUGCAGCAGCUGAGGAACACCAUAAGGCAUCUAAAACUCAGGCCAAGACUGGUCAUCACUGAGGAAUGGGACAAGAUCUGAACAUGGAAGCAGCCAGAAACACACACAUUAUGCACGAGGGAAGAUCUCCCAUACAGCACAGAGCUGCAGUUUAGCAGACGAAGAAGCAGUAACCAAGCAAACUGUACCAGGGAAGCUUUUGCAUUGUGGGGGAAGGCGCAGACGAUUGGAUUUAACCAUCUGGAUGGAAUUUGACUGGAUUAACUUUGGCACCGUUUCACAUACUCUUAAUUCAUUAGUGAAUGGAGUAACUAUAUUGGAAAACUACUGGGGAAAAACAACAUUGCCUCUGAUACUACUGUCACACCAGACAGAGCACAAUCCCAUACAGUCUCUCUCUGUUUUUCUCUCUUCAUUGUCUCCCUGGCUAGUUUUUUUGUGCCAGUGUGUGUCUUCCCAUAUCAGGAUUGGCUGGCUUCCCUUGGUCUGAGAUCUUGGCAUGUACAGAGCUAUAAUUACCCAAUAGUAUGGCUUGAUGACUGCUAGAAAGGGUGGGAGUGCCCCCUCUUGAACAAUAAAACCCCUUGUAUAGAAAAGCCUAACUAAACAAAACAAAAUAAUGUGUAAAAAUGGGUAGUGCUGCCACAAAAGCACUUUGCCAGCUGGAGAGUCUAUACGAAGUAUGAGUAAGAGGCUACUGUGUUUCACUCCUUUUCUGCUAGUGAAAGAUCCCAUUCUACUCCAUAAAGAGGUAUCUGUUAAUGUGUUCUGAUUUCAUGCAGGUCUAGGCAAGUGUAACUCCUUUCAUUUCAGUAACGUUGCUCCUCGUUUAUGCAAAGAAUAAGAUCUGAACCUGGACCAGAAAUUUGGGUGAGCAUAUUCAGACAGCACUGUUUUCUCUCAAGUUGAUACUAAAUAUUAAAAAAAAAAAACAACCACAAAACAAACAAACAAAAAAAAACCCCACAAACUUUCAUCUGACUCUCAAUACAUAGCAUUUUGCAUUUCAGUCAUGGCAGCUUGCACUUAAAAACAUCUGUGUAACAAGGAGCUAUUACAUGUUAAUAUGCAAGGAAUUUAAGUAUUCAGAAGUACAGCUCACUGGAAAAGCAUGUGUCAGCACAUAUGUAUGCUCAGGCUGAGCCCUUUAUAUGAAGAAAAACAUCAGGGAAGCUUUAGCCUACAGCUCCCUAGAAGAUCAGCCUUUUUAACCAAACAAAUGGAGAGCUGUGUUUGAAGAAAUUAUUUAAAGAGAAGCUAAAAGUUUCAGAGACAGAGAGCCAAGCUGAAUAUUGUGAACUAUAUAGACUCAUCUCUAGAAUUGCCCAUGUGAAACAUUCUCAAAAGUAUUAUCUAUAUUCAGUUGAAAAUAGUCUUUCCUCGUUUAAUUUUAAAAUCAAGAGGUGAAAAAAAAAGGGAGGAAAUACUCUGAAUGAAAAUGAAAGCUCUUGAAAUGUCCAAGUUCUCAACAGAGAAGUGUCCAGGCAUAAGCCUGCGUUGACUUUUAGCAGGGUACUACAAUUGUGAAUAGCUGUAGGAAUACAUUUAGAAUUGUAUAGGUGCUUAAGAUCUUCCUUUUCAAGAAAAAUCUCCUAGGUUUCUGUGCAUAUCCCUGGAAGAUACAGGAAAUGGAAACAUGGAGAAGAGAACCAGAAAUUAAUGCACUUAACAAAAGAAUAGCAGAUGCAUCACUUUGAAUGUGUACUUCCUAAAUAUUUAGUUCAACUUUCUCAAGCCCUAUAUGGAUUAGACAGUACCCUUACCUUUGAAAAAUAAUGGAAAAUUAAAAACUGUUCAACUAAAUGGGGCAAGAUUUUUCUUUUGUUUUCUGUUUGAACCCGGAAUUCUGAUCACUCUCAAUGAGCGUUGGUAUCGAUGUCCUUUUGAGUGGAAAGGCUGGUCUAGGGAACUAGUAAGAAAAUUAACCUCUGUGUAUGAUUUUCAAAGUGCUUUCCUCCUCAGUGGAAAGGUACCAAAGACAUAAGCAAGCCGACAGAAUUAAAAGUGAGGCUCUCGCAUGAACAUUCAAGAAUCUUCCUUAAACACAGGAAAAGUCGUCAUGUUUUUUGGAAUCAGUUUCCAUUUCCAUGGAUGAAAAAGGAAGAGAAGGCUGCCUCCUUCAGCAGGGUGAAGCUCACUUCAGUUUUGUUUCUGCUGCUAUUAGCAACCAGUGAAAUACACUAUAAGUGGUCUGAAGGGAAAGCUUAAAAUGUAUUCUGCCAUAAAUCUCUCUGCUUUUUCAUUUACUAAAUUUUAAGCUACGUAAUCAUGGAGAUAGUAGCACUGUUUGCUUUAUUUUUGAGAGUAACAACCCACUGAUUUGCACACACACAUGGAACCUAAAUUCACUUUACUGCUCCACUAUAGACUAUGGGCAAGACUUUCAAAAAAAAAACCCCCAUCCCCAUUUCUUAGAUCCCUUUCAGUAAAACAGCAAUAACAUCUCACUCUUUCUAAGGGUAUCUGUAAGUCUAAAAUCGUGAAAACAGCAAGUUGUUCGUGUAUUAUAGAAAAGGAGACCAAAGAAAUAAAAUGAUUAGAUUACUGUCCUCAUAGAUACGAUGCCCUACUGCGUUAUUCCUGAUGUGCACACUAAUAUUGCUUGAUGCAGACAGUGCCUGUAUCCAUCAUUAAACAUGAAAUGAACUCCUGUAUGUUGUAGCACAUUCCGGCUCGUGUAGCGUAUUAACUCUGCUGUCAUCAUCACUCAACAAGAAGAUACAUCAAUUGAUUGCAGAAAUGCCAGUGUGAGAAUGUAAGUUCAUAGGUUUAAAAAAAAAAGUCAUAUUUUCUCCAUAAAUGGAGUCAGUAUAAAUCAUCAGAGUCUGCAAUAUGGGCUGGGGAAAAUUAGUCACUGACCUACAAACACUUCCCACUGGAUGUCUGUGAAUCCAUUUCACAGAGUGAAAAGUGACAAAAACUAAAGCAGAUGAAGAAGCAGGACCGUGUGGUAAAAUGAAGAAAAGACUACCCUAGAAAUGUGAAGAUACAACCAAGAAGUAACAAAAACACAUUAAUACUACUGUUCAGUUGUUCUAAGUAGUGAAAAGAUGGAAUGACUCGUUUAAAGUUAAUUUUUAAUAAGAAUCCAGUAAUACUUUUCAAACUCUUUAGAAGAAGUAAUUAUGUAUUUUCAGCACCCUGCAGUCCUUGUAGCAGCUCUGGAACUUUAGCAGCUCACAAACCAGAAGGGUUUAUCAUCUUCUAUUGCAUCCAGAAAUCUGUGGUUAAACAGGAAACUCAGUGCAGCGAUUUCUAGAGAAAAAUGCUGACUAAUAUUGGCAAGAAUCUAGUCAGUUUGAAUUAAACUUCAAAUUAACGAGAAUGUAAUACACGAAGAGGGUUUUAUCUCAAAUAAAGAUCCACCUUCCUGUCUUUCCUUGCAAGUUAACGCUACCCUUUUCAGCUGGAACUGUUCAGCUAAUAUUUUCCCCAAAUAUCCUCUAGUAGUUGAGCCCUAUCCUUCAUCAAAUAUCACUGAAGUUGUGCUACAGGACACAAAAUGCAUACAUUAGAACAGGUAUUUUCUCCAGCCAAGCUGAUGGCAUUGUCAGGUUCAUUGCAGUGAAAUUUUGUAUGAACAUGACGCUGUUCUAAAAAAACCUGAUUAAUCUGGUGAUGAGUUUGUCCCUUCAUUGUAAAGCUACUUAACUGGAAGGGAUUUAGAGAUGUUAGAAUUUUACAUUCCAGGAACUUUGAACUGACACAUACUUUGACAAUUUGUUAAGUACUAAUGAAGAACACGAAACCACAUAACAAAAUAUGACUGAAAAUUAUACCUCUUAUAUAUGCUUGGCUUGAAAUGUAGAAGACAGACCUCCUGAAAAUUCUUCUUAAAAACAGAAAAGCAUCUUCUCUAAUAUAAGACAGAGUAUCCGUGUACAAGCGCAUGCACGUUUUAUUACUGAACUUCUAAAAUAGCAAGAUCUAUUUACUAAAUUAAAAAAGCACAACAAAAAAAGGCGAAGAAAAAAGAAUUUGGUUCUGCAGUGGGUGAGGUACAUGAAUUGCAGAGUUUGGUACAAGAUUACAAAGCAAAAUUCUUUGGAACAAUUUGGCAGUUCAUAUGCUCACAGUUGCCCCUUUCAACUUUAAAGCUGGUGAAAUGCAGUCUAUGAACUUCAUACAUUCAAAUGAUACAAAUUUACAUACACAAAUUAUACAGCUCAAGUCCAUAACCUCAACCUUUGUUAUCUUUGUCCACAGUAAUGUUACUAGGAUUCAUCU